ACAACUCUUGGCAAUGGAUAUCUCAACUUUCAUAUCGAUGAAAAACAAAUGAAAUGCAAUACUUGGUGUGAAUUUUAGAAUCUUAUGAACCUUCGAGUCCUUGAAUGCAAGUUGUGCCUUAAGCCAUUACACCAAGGGUAGGCCUGCCUAGGUUUCAUGCAUCAUUGACCCCUUUAACCCCCUGCCCAUUAGGCUCCAGGUGAAGGGAUGAAAGAUAGCCUUAUGUGUCUCGUCAGUUGUGGUUGGCCUAAAAGUGAGUCUCUUAUAAUGAAAGCACCAUCACUAUCAGUGGUAAAGCUCCCAGUGUGCCUCAUCUCUAGUAAUGUGCACUCAUUGUCCAUUCAGACCUCAUCAACCUCUGCAUCACUUGAUCAUUGCUUGCAUCAUGACCCUAGGUCAGGCGGGAUUACCCAUUGAGUUUAAGCAUAUCAAUAAGUGGAGGAAAAAAAACUUACCAGGAUUCUCUUUGUAAUAGUGAGUGAACCAAAAAGAGCCCAGCUUAAGAAUUGGUCACCCUUAGCAUCUAAUUAUAGUAUGAAAAAGCAUCCUCAAUGAUGGACCAAGCCCAAGUCCUCUAAAAGUAGGUACACAUAGAAGGUGAAAGCCCAAUUGUGUAUGGACCCCAUUACACUAUGAGGCACUAUCUGCAAGUUAGGUUAUUUGGGAAUACAACCCCAAUCGAGCAGUAAAUUUCAUCAAGGCUGAAUUCAAGUGAGAAACUAAUAGCAAACAAGUACCACGAAGGAAAGAUGAAAAAGACUUUGAAAAGAAAGUUAAAGAGUGCUUGAAAUUGUUGGAAAGGAAGCAGAUGACGGUCAACAAUAUGCCUCAGUCAGAUCUCACUAGUCCACUGAUUGGCUGAUGGCAGCAGCCCAAGCCCAAGCUUCAAUAUGCCCAUAGAGAUGUCAUCAUCACAAUCAUGGAAUGUAGUAUGCUCUGUCUCAACAUGUUUUAGCACCUAUGUGCUCCCAACAUUAGCCUGUGAGCUUCCCAUCCAGCCUAUCUUGAAACAUGGACGAAUGGCUCUGAUAUGUGUGUGAGUCAACAGGCUAGAAAGCUCAGAAGGCAUAAAAAAGCUAAUUUACAAGAUCCCUCACAGGUGCACCUCUGACCAACCUUGAUCUUUUAAGAAAGGUUUGAGUAUAAGAUGCUUAUCAAGACCUAAAAGAUGGUGAACUAUGCCUGAAUGGGGCAAACCAGAGUAAACUUUAGUGAAAGCCCAUAAUAAUAGUAAUGUGUAAAUUACUCGUCUGACUUGGGUAUAGGGGUGAAAAACUAAUCGAAUUGUCUAGUAGCUAGUUUCCUCUGAAGUUUUCCUCAUGAUAGCUAGAGUCUAUUGUGAAUUCUAUCGGGUUAAGCCAAUGAUUAGAGGCAUUGAGAGCGCAACACCCUUAACCUAUUCUCAAACUUGAAAUGAGUAGAAUGGCAUGAUUGCUUUAUUGAGCCACUCCAUGAAAUUGAGACCUCCAAGUGGGCCAUUUUUGGUUAGAAGAAUUAGUGAUACGGGAUGAACAGAAAGCCAGAUUAUGAUGCCCAACUGUGCACUAACCUAAAACCCAUAAAGAGUGGUAGUUGAUUAAGACAGUAGGAUGGUGGUCAUGGAAGUCAAAAUCUGCUAAGAAGUUUGUAACAACUCACUUGCUGAAUCAACUAACCUAAAAAAUGGAUGGUGCUUAAGUGUGCAACCUAUACCUAGAUAUCGGGGCAAGGGCUAGGCCACAAUGAGUAGAAAGGCAUGACAGUCAUCGUAAAACUAAAGGUACAAACACGAGCAGAGUGAUUAUCAGUGUAGAUCUUAGUGGUAAUAGCAAAUAUUCAAAUGAAAACUUUAAAGACAGAAGAGGGGAAAUAAUCCAUGUGAAUGGUACUUGCACAUGGGUUAGUCAUCCCAAGAGAUGGAGGAAGCCCAUCUGAUAGCACAUAAAGCACGAGUUUUAAAGGGAAUCAGGUAAAAUUUCUUGAACUAGGAUGCUACAGCUGAUGGCAACAUUAAGGAGUCCAAAGAUGUCGACAGAGGCUUUGGGAAGAGUUAUCUUUUUUGUUUAAUGGCCUUUUCACCCUUAAAACGGCCUAGCUAGAGCAAGUUAUCACGUGUCGACUGGGGAUGGACUUGGAACAGCUCUUUUGGGGGCCUUUUCUGAGUAAUAAAUAGUCAACUUAAAACUAGUACGGACAAAAAAAAUCUGACUAUUUAGUUAAAACAAAGCAUUAGAUGGUCCCUAUGGAUGGUCACAUAAUGUGAUUUUUGCUUAGUGCUUUAAAUGUCAAUGUGAAUAAAUUCAACCAAGCAAGAGAAAAUAGCAGAAGUAACUAUGAGUCUCUUAAGGUAGCUAAAUGCCUCAUCAUCUAAUUAGUGAUGCACAUGAAUGGAUUAAUAAGAUUCCCACUAUCCCUAUCUAUUAUCCAAUAAAACCAUAGCCAAGGGAAUAGGCUUGAUAGAAUCAACAGGGUAAGAAAACCCUGUUGAGCUUGACUUUAGUCUGACUUUGUGAAAUGACAUGAAAAGUGUAGGAUAAGUGGAAGUCCUCAAGCAAAAUUGAAUUACUACUACUUUUAAUGUUAUUUUACUUAUUCCAUGAAUUGAAUGUAGGGUAUGACCCCCUUCUUUUAUACCCAAGACCAACCUCGAUUGGUUGAUCUGUGCAGAAGACAUUGUCGAUAAAGAGUUUGGCUAGGGUGGCACAUCUGUUAAAAGAUAACGAAGGUGUCCUAAGAUGAGUUCAACGAGAAUAGAAAUCUUAUGUGCAACAAAAAGGUAAAAGCUCAUUUGAUUUUGAUUUUUAGUAUAAAUAUGAACCAUGAAAGUGUGGCCUAUCGAUCCUUUAGACUUUUGAAAUUCUAAGCUAGAGGUGCUAGAAAAGUUACCAUAGGGAUAACUGGCUUAUGGUAGCUAAGUGGUCAUAGCGACAUUGCUUUUUGAUCCUUUAAUGUUGGCUCUUCUUAUCAUUGUGAAGUAGAAUUCAUCGAGUGUUAGAUUGUUCACCCACAAAUAGGAAACGUGAGUUGGGUUUAAACCAUCAUGAGAUAGGUUAGUUUUACCUUACUGAUGGCAGUGUCACAAUAGUAAUUCAACCUAGUACAAGAGGAACCAUUAAUUUGCACAAUUGGUCAUCAUGCUUGGUUAAGAUGCUAAUGGCAUGAAGCUACCAUUGUGUUGGAUUAUGACUGAACACCUCUAAGUCAUAAUCCAAGCUACAAGGAAUACACGUGCUUGUCACUCAAUUGCUAACCCAUAGUAACAGCUCAUGGCCUCUAAGGGCACAUGUCGUAGGUGUAACCCCCACAGUAGACAAACUGAGAGGGCUUUCUUGGAUCUCAAUUCCUACUGAGUGGUAGGUAGAAUC
rnacentral:rRNA from 1 species